UAAGCGUACACGGUGGAUGCCCUGGCAGUCAGAGGCGAUGAAGGACGUGCUAAUCUGCGAUAAGCGUCGGUAAGGUGAUAUGAACCGUUAUAACCGGCGAUUUCCGAAUGGGGAAACCCAGUGUGAUUCGUCACACUAUCAUUAACUGAAUCCAUAGGUUAAUGAGGCGAACCGGGGGAACUGAAACAUCUAAGUACCCCGAGGAAAAGAAAUCAACCGAGAUUCCCCCAGUAGCGGCGAGCGAACGGGGAGGAGCCCAGAGCCUGAAUCAGUGUGUGUGUUAGUGGAAGCGUCUGGAAAGGCGCGCGAUACAGGGUGACAGCCCCGUACACAAAAAUGCACAUGCUGUGAGCUCGAUGAGUAGGGCGGGACACGUGGUAUCCUGUCUGAAUAUGGGGGGACCAUCCUCCAAGGCUAAAUACUCCUGACUGACCGAUAGUGAACCAGUACCGUGAGGGAAAGGCGAAAAGAACCCCGGCGAGGGGAGUGAAAAAGAACCUGAAACCGUGUACGUACAAGCAGUGGGAGCACAGAGCAAUCUGUGUGACUGCGUACCUUUUGUAUAAUGGGUCAGCGACUUAUAUUCUGUAGCAAGGUUAACCGAAUAGGGGAGCCGAAGGGAAACCGAGUCUUAACUGGGCGUUAAGUUGCAGGGUAUAGACCCGAAACCCGGUGAUCUAGCCAUGGGCAGGUUGAAGGUUGGGUAACACUAACUGGAGGACCGAACCGACUAAUGUUGAAAAAUUAGCGGAUGACUUGUGGCUGGGGGUGAAAGGCCAAUCAAACCGGGAGAUAGCUGGUUCUCCCCGAAAGCUAUUUAGGUAGCGCCUCGUGAAUUCAUCUCCGGGGGUAGAGCACUGUUUCGGCAAGGGGGUCAUCCCGACUUACCAACCCGAUGCAAACUGCGAAUACCGGAGAAUGUUAUCACGGGAGACACACGGCGGGUGCUAACGUCCGUCGUGAAGAGGGAAACAACCCAGACCGCCAGCUAAGGUCCCAAAGUCAUGGUUAAGUGGGAAACGAUGUGGGAAGGCCCAGACAGCCAGGAUGUUGGCUUAGAAGCAGCCAUCAUUUAAAGAAAGCGUAAUAGCUCACUGGUCGAGUCGGCCUGCGCGGAAGAUGUAACGGGGCUAAACCAUGCACCGAAGCUGCGGCAGCGACGCUGAUGCGUUGUUGGGUAGGGGAGCGUUCUGUAAGCCUGUGAAGGUGUGCUGUGAGGCAUGCUGGAGGUAUCAGAAGUGCGAAUGCUGACAUAAGUAACGAUAAAGCGGGUGAAAAGCCCGCUCGCCGGAAGACCAAGGGUUCCUGUCCAACGUUAAUCGGGGCAGGGUGAGUCGACCCCUAAGGCGAGGCCGAAAGGCGUAGUCGAUGGGAAACAGGUUAAUAUUCCUGUACUUGGUGUUACUGCGAAGGGGGGACGGAGAAGGCUAUGUUGGCCGGGCGACGGUUGUCCCGGUUUAAGCGUGUAGGCUGGUUUUCCAGGCAAAUCCGGAAAACUAAGGCUGAGGCGUGAUGACGAGGCACUACGGUGCUGAAGCAACAAAUGCCCUGCUUCCAGGAAAAGCCUCUAAGCAUCAGGUAACAUCAAAUCGUACCCCAAACCGACACAGGUGGUCAGGUAGAGAAUACCAAGGCGCUUGAGAGAACUCGGGUGAAGGAACUAGGCAAAAUGGUGCCGUAACUUCGGGAGAAGGCACGCUGAUAUGUAGGUGAAGUCCCUCGCGGAUGGAGCUGAAAUCAGUCGAAGAUACCAGCUGGCUGCAACUGUUUAUUAAAAACACAGCACUGUGCAAACACGAAAGUGGACGUAUACGGUGUGACGCCUGCCCGGUGCCGGAAGGUUAAUUGAUGGGGUCAGCGCAAGCGAAGCUCUUGAUCGAAGCCCCGGUAAACGGCGGCCGUAACUAUAACGGUCCUAAGGUAGCGAAAUUCCUUGUCGGGUAAGUUCCGACCUGCACGAAUGGCGUAAUGAUGGCCAGGCUGUCUCCACCCGAGACUCAGUGAAAUUGAACUCGCUGUGAAGAUGCAGUGUACCCGCGGCAAGACGGAAAGACCCCGUGAACCUUUACUAUAGCUUGACACUGAACAUUGAGCCUUGAUGUGUAGGAUAGGUGGGAGGCUUUGAAGUGUGGACGCCAGUCUGCAUGGAGCCGACCUUGAAAUACCACCCUUUAAUGUUUGAUGUUCUAACGUUGACCCGUAAUCCGGGUUGCGGACAGUGUCUGGUGGGUAGUUUGACUGGGGCGGUCUCCUCCUAAAGAGUAACGGAGGAGCACGAAGGUUGGCUAAUCCUGGUCGGACAUCAGGAGGUUAGUGCAAUGGCAUAAGCCAGCUUGACUGCGAGCGUGACGGCGCGAGCAGGUGCGAAAGCAGGUCAUAGUGAUCCGGUGGUUCUGAAUGGAAGGGCCAUCGCUCAACGGAUAAAAGGUACUCCGGGGAUAACAGGCUGAUACCGCCCAAGAGUUCAUAUCGACGGCGGUGUUUGGCACCUCGAUGUCGGCUCAUCACAUCCUGGGGCUGAAGUAGGUCCCAAGGGUAUGGCUGUUCGCCAUUUAAAGUGGUACGCGAGCUGGGUUUAGAACGUCGUGAGACAGUUCGGUCCCUAUCUGCCGUGGGCGCUGGAGAACUGAGGGGGGCUGCUCCUAGUACGAGAGGACCGGAGUGGACGCAUCACUGGUGUUCGGGUUGUCAUGCCAAUGGCACUGCCCGGUAGCUAAAUGCGGAAGAGAUAAGUGCUGAAAGCAUCUAAGCACGAAACUUGCCCCGAGAUGAGUUCUCCCUGACUCCUUGAGAGUCCUGAAGGAACGUUGAAGACGACGACGUUGAUAGGCCGGGUGUGUAAGCGCAGCGAUGCGUUGAGCUAACCGGUACUAAUGAACCGUGAGGCUUAACCUUACAACGCCGAAGCUGUU
rnacentral:rRNA from 2 species